rnacentral:rRNA from 1 species
UACGUAGGUGGCAAGCGUUGUCCGGAAUUAUUGGGCGUAAAGCGCGCGCAGGCGGUCCUUUAAGUCUGAUGUGAAAGCCCACGGCUCAACCGUGGAGGGUCAUUGGAAACUGGGGGACUUGAGUGCAGAAGGAGGAAAGCGGAAUUCCACGUGUAGCGGUGAAAUGCGUAGAGAUGUGGAGGAACACCAGUGGCGAAGGCGGCUUUCUGGUCUGUAACUGACGCUGAGGCGCGAAAGCGUGGGGAGCAAACAGG